rnacentral:rRNA from 1 species
GUGCCAGCCGCCGCGGUAAUACGUAGGGGCCGAGCGUUUUUCUUAUUCACUGGGUGUAAAGGGCGCGUAGGUGGUUGUCUGUGUCUCAUGUGAAAACUCAGGGCUCAACUCUGAGAUUGCGUGGGAAACUAGGCAGCUAGAGGACGGUAGAGGGGAGUGGAAUUCCCGGUGUAGCGGUAAAAUGCGUAGAUACCGGGAGGAACACCGGUGGCGAAGGCGGCUCUCUGGGCCGAUCCUGACGCUGAGGCGCGAAAGCUAGGGUAGCGAACCGGAUUAGAUACCCGGGUAGUCCUAGCCGUAAACGAUGGGUGCUAGGUGUUGGGGGGUAAAGACCCUUCAGUGCCGAAGCUAACGCGAUAAGCAUCCCACCUGGGGAGUACGGCCGCAAGGUUGAAACUCAAAGGAAUGGGAGG